rnacentral:tRNA from 1 species
GGGUGUGGAUCAGUGGUAGAACACAUUCUUAGUAUGCAAGAGACUCUGGGUUCAAUCUCCAGCACCAACA